UGGAGGAGUAGACAUGGCGUGAUAUUGCUUCGGCUCAUCUUCUUUCUCAGUAAUCCGUCUGAAAGUUUCAAGGCGAGCCGAAUCAAUAUCACUCUUGUAUGCUUCUUU
rfam:Gossypium raimondii Chr04_contig_696, whole genome shotgun sequence.